rnacentral:rRNA from 1 species
GACGAACCGUGCGAACGUUAUUCGGAAUCACUGGGCUUAAAGGGCGCGUAGGCGGGAUCGCGAGUCAGGGGUGAAAGCCUCCGGCCCAACCGGAGAAGCGCCUUUGAUACUGCGGUCCUCGAGGGGUGCAGGGGCAUGCGGAACUCGGGGUGGAGCGGUGAAAUGCGUAGAUAUCCUGAGGAACACCGGUGGCGAAGGCGGGUCUCUGGGCCGAUACUGACGCUGAGGAGCGAAAGCGUGGGGAGCGAACAGG